rnacentral:rRNA from 1 species
ACGAACGCUGGCGGCGUGUUUAACACAUGCAAGUCGAACGGAAAGGCCUCUUUCGGGGGGUACUCGAGUGGCGAACGGGUGAGUAACACGUGAGUAACCUGCCCUUGACUUUGGGAUAACUUCAGGAAACUGGGGCUAAUACCGGAUAGGAGCUCCUGCUGCAUGGUGGGGGUUGGAAAGUUUCGGCGGUUGGGGAUGGACUCGCGGCUUAUCAGCUUGUUGGUGGGGUAGUGGCUUACCAAGGCUUUGACGGGUAGCCGGCCUGAGAGGGUGACCGGCCACAUUGGGACUGAGAUACGGCCCAGACUCCUACGGGAGGCAGCAGUGGGGAAUAUUGCACAAUGGGUGGAAGCCUGAUGCAGCAACGCCGUGUGCGGGAUGACGGCCUUCGGGUUGUAAACCGCUUUCGCUCAUGACGAAGCUUUGUGUGACGGUAGUGGGUAAAGAAGCACCGGCUAACUACGUG